GCUAGCUAGCACUGCAUUGCAUGUUGUGAGUGGUCGACUCAGAGACAGAAAGAAAAUAGUUGAACAAAUUAAUUUAUUCCUAAAUGAAGGAGAAGCAAGAGUGAAAUAGAGAGAUUAUCUUUUUUUUCACUUACUUAGCUAGAAAAUGCAGCUAGCUAGUUUAUCCUAACACCCUGCUCAAAGAGUGGGAUGCUAUGUUAGCUAGCUGGCUAGGACUAUCCAACACAACACUGGAACUCUGCCAUGUCAAGGAAAAGUAGCUGCUGCCUCUGCAAAAGCGGAUGGGGAUCCGAAUAAACCAAUAAAUCGAAACUGAGAGAUUAUGAGAAUUAUUACAAUAGAACGUUGAUGUGAUCAUCUAAUUUUCAUUCUCAUCAUAUCGAUGUCACAAAGGAUACCUGACUUGGAAUGUUGACCUUUAACAUGCAAACGUGUUUGUUAGUUCCAAUUCUACAUUUUGGAAACAAUAAUUCUUCUUUUCUUUUUGACAAUGAAGAAAGCAAGGGGAUGAAAUGUAUUCUUUGUGUGCCAUUGUCUGGGGGUUAUGAAUAACCUGACAGGCCUCAAUAGGCAAUACCAGCCUCAGCCGAAUUCACAAACCAAUCACCUCAGCUCCGGCCUGGCCCAGUACCUAGACUCCAACCCCACUCUGAUUAUCGAUCUCCAGAAACUUGGCCUGACUUCUGACUGCUUGGAAGAGCCUGAAGAGAUACUGUUUAUGGAGGUGUGGGACCUUGGGAAAGACAGAGGAGACCAACGCUACAAGGCCAGGUGGUUCAUUACUGGAGAGCACGAAAAUGUGCUGGACGAGGGCACCUGGCUGGUGAAACCACAGAAGAAAGACAAUCCUGUUAGGUGAACAAUUAUCUUCAGCUCACAAUUUAUAAAUGUGUGUUUGUAAAAAAAGUAAAAGAUUUUAUUCCAUCAUAAAAAAA